rnacentral:rRNA from 1 species
CAGCAGCCACGGUAAUACGAAGGGGGCUAGCGUUGCUCGGAAUUACUGGGCGUAAAGGGCGCGUAGGCGGACAGUUCAGUCGGGGGUGAAAGCCCGGGGCUCAACCUCGGAAUUGCCUUCGAUACUGACUGUCUUGAGUAUGAGAGAGGUGUGUGGAACUCCGAGUGUAGAGGUGAAAUUCGUAGAUAUUCGGAAGAACACCAGUGGCGAAGGCGACACACUGGCUCAUUACUGACGCUGAGGCGCGAAAGCGUGGGGAGCAAACAGGAUUAGAUACCCCCGUAGUCCCUGUCUCUUAUAC